UACGUAGGGGGCAAGCGUUGUCCGGAUUCAUUGGGCGUAAAGAGCGUGUAGGCGGCCAGGUAGGUCGGUUGUGAAAACUGGAGGCUCAACCUUCAGAGGUCGACCGAAACCAUCUGGCUAGAGUCCGGGAGAGGAGAGUGGAAUUCCUGGUGUAGCGGUGAAAUGCGCAGAUAUCAGGAAGAACACCCGUGGCUAAGGCGGCUCUCUAGUACGUGACUGACGCUGAGACGCGAAAGCGUGGGGAGCGAACAGG
rnacentral:rRNA from 1 species